ensembl:miRNA MIR939 microRNA 939
UGUGGGCAGGGCCCUGGGGAGCUGAGGCUCUGGGGGUGGCCGGGGCUGACCGUGGGCCUCUGCUCCCCAGUGUCUGAUCGUG